UACGUAGGUGGCAAGCGUUGUCCGGAUUUAUUGGGUUUAAAGGGUGCGUAGGUGGGCAGGUAAGUCAGUGGUGAAAUCCCCGAGCUUAACUUGGGAACUGCCGUUGAUACUAUCUGUCUUGAAUACCGUGGAGGUGAGCGGAAUAUGUCAUGUAGCGGUGAAAUGCUUAGAUAUGACAUAGAACACCAAUUGCGAAGGCAGCUCGCUACACGAAUAUUGACUCUGAGGCACGAAAGCGUGGGGAUCAAACAGG
rnacentral:rRNA from 1 species